AUCUCCAACAAAUACUACAUGUCGCUCAAGAAAUUCAGCACGCCACCUAUGAACAUCUCCCACAAAUACUACAAGUCGUUCAAGAAUUUCAGCACGCCACCUAUGAACAUCUCCCACAAAUACUACAAGUUGCUCAAGAAAUUCAGCACACCACGUAUGAACAUCUCGCACAAAUACUACAAGUUGUUUAAAAAUUUGGCAGGCCACGUAUGAACAUCUCCCAGAAAUACUACAAGUCGCUCAAGAUUCAGCACGCCACCUAUGAACAUCUCGCACAAAUACUACAAGUCGCUCAAGAAAUUCAGCACGCCACCUAUGAAAAUCUCCCACAAAUACCACAAGUCGUUCAAGAAAUUCAGCACGCCACGUAUGAACAUCUCCCACAAAUACUACAAGUCGUUCAAGAAAUUCAGCACGCCACCUAUGAACAUCUCACAAAUACUACAAGUCACUCAAGAAAUUCAGCACGCCACCUAUGAACAUCUCCCACAAAUAAUACAAGUUGUUCAAGACAUUCAGCACGCCACGUAUGAUCAUCCCCUUGAAAUACUACAAGUCUUCAACAAAUUCAGCACGUCACCUAUGAACAUCUCACAAAUACUACAAGUCGCUCAAGAAAAUCAGCACUCCAGGUAUUAAUAUCUUGCACAAAUACUACAAGUCGCUCAAGCAAUUCAGCGUGUCACCUAUGAACAUCUUGCAUGGUGGCUUGGUGAGUCUGACUUCUGUCUUGACAAGUCACUCAAGAUAAAAUAAUCGGAUCUAACAGACAGAGCAGGUGCUGAGUGACUCGUCUGUUAACUUGACUGACCUCGAUACGUUGCUCUCAAAUAAUGAGAACCUGAUGCACGAGGAACAGUGCUGUCCAACAUUCCCAGUUUUUGGUUGGCGACUUCACUUUCGGGACUCACACAAUCUCUGCCUAUGGCCUUGCUGCAGCCGCAGCAGCAGCAACAAAAACAGGUAGUAUAUUAGCUGCGCUCUGGAAAAACAGUGCUAAAGUGUUGUCCCAGAUAAGCGUGUUAAGUCUGCCCAGGCUUAUUAGUGACCACGUGUUCUGAAUAUGCCUUUAAAACAAAAAACUCCAUUAAAGUGGAAAGAGUCGUGGCUGUUUGUGCAGACAGCACAGUCUAAUCUGGAACGACUCUUUUUAUUAACUGGUCAAACUGAGUAAAUAAAUACUUAUAAGUGUUGAUUUGAUAUCAGUGUUAAUCUUAAAAGGUCAGGGCAUAUUUUCAUACAUUUUUGUGCCAAAAUUCAGCCUCUAGACCAAAAGUUGUUUCUUUGUUUUCACUUGUAUAUUACAAAUAAUCCCCUUUCAUAAAUUAAACAUGAUACUUAUUAAAUGUUGUUUAAGAUAAGUUAAACAAUUAUUGAAAUGCAGUAAACAUUCUAUGAAAUAAUUAUCUGCAUUUAUUUUAAAUAAGAAUAUCUAUAAACUACAAUUUACCACCUGUCCAGGUUUUCAGUAUUUACAGAUAUGCAACUGGAGUGAUGAUAUGCCCUGAAGAUAUUUAUUAAUUAUACUCCCUGUUAAUUGGGGUAUAAUGGAAUCCCCUUGGACGGACGUCUAUCUGUCUGUCUUUCCAUCUGUCUGUGGGCGUUCACUUAACGAUUCAACGUUCAGCUUUCAAACUUUCAGGACCCCAUGCAGUCACACAUCUGUACACAGCGGACAACAACGGGCUCUCUGGUCAGCUGGGCCGUUACAGGACCCCAUGCAGUCACACAUCUGUACACAGCGGACAACAACAGGCUCUCUGGUCAGCUGGGCCUGGACGCCCGGGGACAAAUCCUUGGUAUAGGCGGUGAGCUCUUGGGCCAGGAAUUUGGGGCAAAGCUGAAUGAGUCCUACCCCAAGGGUACAUCCAGUCUAACAAUGGGGCUCCAAACUUCCCUUCUCAGGGGCAGAUAUAACCUCAUCUACAAGGGCCCUUAUCAUCACAAGUUUGGCCCAGCAAAUGAUGUUCCUCAACUGCAACACAGCCACUGCAUCUUAACAGGAAAAACUGUCAAUUUACAAAGCACCCUUCCCUGAAAAUCUGGCCAAGCUAAUACACAAUGUGAAUGCAUCAACGUGAUCCUUCAGAGAAACAGGAUUCCAGGCCGAAUGUCAAACCGUCUGGGCUCCAGCAGCAGCCUCAGCCGUGGGGGUCAGGUUCAUGAUGCACCUAUGCUCUCAAUGCUCUAUGAACAUCAUAAUCUCACAGCAACAGUGGAUAACAUGACCUUCAAGUUGGGGAUGGUUGAGGGUCUCCCAAAUCCACCCAGUGCCUUGCGAUGAAAACCUCCAACGGGACUGUGACCUUGCCCUUGGACUCACCUAAUGGUCAGGUUCAAGGUCACAUGGGCUUAGAUAGUCACUGCAGUAAAAAAGUGUAUGGUUUUAAAGUAAAGAAGAUGACUUCACAACAUGACAUCCGAGACUGCAGGGACGAAAUGACUCACGUCAGCAGAGGAAGCCAAGACACAAUACGAAAAUUUCCAGUGGCUUACCUGCUUGUAUGGGUUUAUUUUAAACCUAAUUAUUAUAUGAUUUAGUUAGAAAACCUGGGUAGCAGAGUAAUUAGUAUGUCCCAGGAGCAUUUGCUGUCAUCGUCUCCAGAUUAUGAGAUCCCCAUGCUCCACAACCCUCAGUCUAUGAACAGCAUGCAGAGGGAACCUUGGACGCCCAUUGACGAAAUCAAACCAGCAAAUCAGAAGGACAGCCUGUUGCUACCGUUGUUAUCAUAUUAACCCCAUACCGAAGAAGCUCAGAGAUAUAAAUGCUGUUUAAAAUAUGCUAGUCUCAACAUACCCCGUGUCUGGUGUGAACAUGUACAAUUGAAGGUCUCUACAUACCCCAUGUCUGGUGUGAACAUGUACAAUCGAAGGUCUCUACAUACCCCAUGUCUGGUGUGAACAUGUACAAUUGAAGGUCUCUUCAUACCCCAUGUCUGGUGUGAACAUGUACAAUCGAAGGUCUCUACAUACCCCAUGUCUGGUGUGAACAUGUACAAUUGAAGGUCUCUUCAUACCCCAUGUCUGGUGUGAACAUGUACAAUUGAAGGUCUCUACAUACCCCAUGUCUGGUGUGAACAUGUACAAUUGAAGGUCUCUACAAUACUCCAUGUCUGGUGUGAAAAUGUACA